ACUUUACAGGUGAGGUAGGGAUAAUGGAUAAUAAGGAGAAAGAGUGUUUGUAUGUAUGUGUGUAUUUGUGUGUGUUAGAUUGGGGUGAAAUGUGUGUGUGUGUGUGUGUGUGUGUGUGUGUGUGUGUGUGUGUGUGUGUGUGACUUCUGAGCAAAUCACAUCAAAGAUAUAGGAAAAAAAGAUCUGAAUCCAAAUAAUAUUGGGCAGAUUUGAGAGGAGAAUCUCAUUUUGGGAGAUCUCAUUAUUCGAGUGUUGCCGAAUAUGGUAUUUGUGUUCUGCGCCUCCCUACUACAUGGGAACAAUCACCUCAGUACAAUCAUAUGACAUCCCAUUCACCCUGUAAAUAUACAGGAACAUGUACAGUGAGCUCCAUAAAGCUUGGGACAAAGACAUUUUUUCUUGA